rnacentral:lncRNA from 1 species
AAAAAAAUAUAUAUUAUUUAGGAGAAUUUAAAAUUUAAUAAAUUAACAAACACUGUUAUUUUAGUCAGAUGCGACAUACAGUAUUGUUGAAAAAGAAGCUAUCAUUCUAGCUAAUAAACUGCAAGCAGAAUACUGGUCAGUUUCAUCAAAAACAGGAGAAAAUGUAAAGGACUUCUUCUUUCGAUUAGCCGCUCUGGCUUUUAAUUUUUCAGUCCUCAGGGAGUUGGUUUCUCCAAGUAGAAAAGAAAUAUCGGAAGAUUUUGUCAGAUUGCACAACAACAAAGAUACUUUUGAAGUAAAGAAAUCAAAAUGUUCCAGUUGCAGAAGAUGAAGUAAUGCAGUUAUUUGUGCCUGUUUUUAGUCCAUCAAAAGUCAUUUUUUUAUAUAUUUGCCAUAAAGUUUCAGUAUUUUUUAUUUAGUUUUAUUAAAAACACUCACAAAUAUUCAACGCACCAAAUUGAUAUUUUUCCACAUUAUACGACAUAUCAUACAUCGGUGCCGAAAACGUAUACUCAGAAAUUUUGACUCUGGACUUGCCAUACUCUUGCAAUUUAAACAAUAUUUGCUACUCUAAUUGUUACAGUUUAAUAAGAAGUAAUUAAAAUUGCAAUAUUUAAAUUGAAUUUUAUGAAAUUUAAAAAAUUAAUACUCAUAUAUUCACAUUCUUUUAAAGAAAAAUUAGUAUUUAUAUAUAUAUUUUGAAUUAAAAUUGGAUCAUUUAUGUUUCAGGUAUUCUUCUUUGAUAAAUUUUCACGUUUCUUAUAUAAAAUAUCCAAAUAUCUGUCAUAUUAAUGCGUAAAAUUGUGUAUAACACUUCAUAAAGUUGUUUGCGCAUACAAAU